GACGAACGCUGGCGGCGUGCUUAACACAUGCAAGUCGAACGAAGUGGCGAACGGGUGAGUAACGCGUAAUCAACCUGCCCUUCAGAGGGGGACAACAGUUGGAAACGACUGCUAAUACCGCAUACUGAAGGAGGGGUUUGCGUCUGAUUAGCUAGUUGGAGGGGUAAAGGCCCACCAAGGCGAUGAUCAGUAACCGGUUUGGGGAGGUGGACGACCAAAUUGGGACUGGGACACGGCCCCGAACCCUACGGGGGGGAGCAAGGGGGAAUCAUCCGCAAUGGGCGAAAGUCUGGCGGAGCAACGCCGCGUGGGUGAUGACGGCCUUCGGGUUGUAAAGCUCUGUUAAUCGGGACGCGGUACCGGAAUAGAAAGCCACGGCUAACUACGUGCCAGCAGCCGCGGUAAUAC
rnacentral:rRNA from 1 species